rnacentral:rRNA from 2 species
AAAAAGAACCUGAAACCGUGUACGUACAAGCAGUGGGAGCACGCUUAGGCGUGUGACUGCGUACCUUUUGUAUAAUGGGUCAGCGACUUAUAUUCUGUAGCAAGGUUAACCGAAUAGGGGAGCCGAAGGGAAACCGAGUCUUAACUGGGCGUUAAGUUGCAGGGUAUAGACCCGAAACCCGGUGAUCUAGCCAUGGGCAGGUUGAAGGUUGGGUAACACUAACUGGAGGACCGAACCGACUAAUGUUGAAAAAUUAGCGGAUGACUUGUGGCUGGGGGUGAAAGGCCAAUCAAACCGGGAGAUAGCUGGUUCUCCCCGAAAGCUAUUUAGGUAGCGCCUCGUGAAUUCAUCUCCGGGGGUAGAGCACUGUUUCGGCAAGGGGGUCAUCCCGACUUACCAACCCGAUGCAAACUGCGAAUACCGGAGAAUGUUAUCACGGGAGACACACGGCGGGUGCUAACGUCCGUCGUGAAGAGGGAAACAACCCAGACCGCCAGCUAAGGUCCCAAAGUCAUGGUUAAGUGGGAAACGAUGUGGGAAGGCCCAGACAGCCAGGAUGUUGGCUUAGAAGCAGCCAUCAUUUAAAGAAAGCGUAAUAGCUCACUGGUCGAGUCGGCCUGCGCGGAAGAUGUAACGGGGCUAAACCAUGCACCGAAGCUGCGGCAGCGACGCUGAUGCGUUGUUGGGUAGGGGAGCGUUCUGUAAGCCUGUGAAGGUGUGCUGUGAGGUAUGCUGGAGGUAUCAGAAGUGCGAAUGCUGACAUAAGUAACGAUAAAGCGGGUGAAAAGCCCGCUCGCCGGAAGACCAAGGGUUCCUGUCCAACGUUAAUCGGGGCAGGGUGAGUCGACCCCUAAGGCGAGGCCGAAAGGCGUAGUCGAUGGGAAACAGGUUAAUAUUCCUGUACUUGGUGUUACUGCGAAGGGGGGACGGAGAAGGCUAUGUUGGCCGGGCGACGGUUGUCCCGGUUUAAGCGUGUAGGCUGGUUUUCCAGGCAAAUCCGGAAAACUAAGGCUGAGGCGUGAUGACGAGGCACUACGGUGCUGAAGCAACAAAUGCCCUGCUUCCAGGAAAAGCCUCUAAGCAUCAGGUAACAUCAAAUCGUACCCCAAACCGACACAGGUGGUCAGGUAGAGAAUACCAAGGCGCUUGAGAGAACUCGGGUGAAGGAACUAGGCAAAAUGGUGCCGUAACUUCGGGAGAAGGCACGCUGAUAUGUAGGUGAAGUCCCUCGCGGAUGGAGCUGAAAUCAGUCGAAGAUACCAGCUGGCUGCAACUGUUUAUUAAAAACACAGCACUGUGCAAACACGAAAGUGGACGUAUACGGUGUGACGCCUGCCCGGUGCCGGAAGGUUAAUUGAUGGGGUCAGCGCAAGCGAAGCUCUUGAUCGAAGCCCCGGUAAACGGCGGCCGUAACUAUAACGGUCCUAAGGUAGCGAAAUUCCUUGUCGGGUAAGUUCCGACCUGCACGAAUGGCGUAAUGAUGGCCAGGCUGUCUCCACCCGAGACUCAGUGAAAUUGAACUCGCUGUGAAGAUGCAGUGUACCCGCGGCAAGACGGAAAGACCCCGUGAACCUUUACUAUAGCUUGACACUGAACAUUGAGCCUUGAUGUGUAGGAUAGGUGGGAGGCUUUGAAGUGUGGACGCCAGUCUGCAUGGAGCCGACCUUGAAAUACCACCCUUUAAUGUUUGAUGUUCUAACGUUGACCCGUAAUCCGGGUUGCGGACAGUGUCUGGUGGGUAGUUUGACUGGGGCGGUCUCCUCCUAAAGAGUAACGGAGGAGCACGAAGGUUGGCUAAUCCUGGUCGGACAUCAGGAGGUUAGUGCAAUGGCAUAAGCCAGCUUGACUGCGAGCGUGACGGCGCGAGCAGGUGCGAAAGCAGGUCAUAGUGAUCCGGUGGUUCUGAAUGGAAGGGCCAUCGCUCAACGGAUAAAAGGUACUCCGGGGAUAACAGGCUGAUACCGCCCAAGAGUUCAUAUCGACGGCGGUGUUUGGCACCUCGAUGUCGGCUCAUCACAUCCUGGGGCUGAAGUAGGUCCCAAGGGUAUGGCUGUUCGCCAUUUAAAGUGGUACGCGAGCUGGGUUUAGAACGUCGUGAGACAGUUCGGUCCCUAUCUGCCGUGGGCGCUGGAGAACUGAGGGGGG